CAACCUACUGCACCACGGUGUGAACUCCAGGAUACAGCUUUAAGUUCACAGUGCUCUUAAACCACAUAUUGGUCAGGGUUAGACGGAGAAAUAGAACCAAUGGGACACAAGUGCGCAUGUGUGCGCACACAUGUGCACACACACACACAGACAUUUAUUAUCAGGAAUUGGCUCAGCUGUUAUGGAGACUGAGACAUGCUCAAGCUGGAGGCCCAUGAAAGAGGUGGUGUAGUUAAGUCAACGUCUCGAAGUCUGAGGGCAGAACACAAUGUCCAAGCUCCACAGUCAAGUCAGAAGCAAGUUCUCCCCUUCUCUUUGUUCUGUUCUGCACUCAGUGGAUUGGGUGAUGCCCAUCCCAGUGAAGGGAAUAGUCUGCUUUACUUGGUCUCCUAUUUCAAAUGCUAAUCUCAUCCAGGAACACCCUCACAGACACACCCAGCAGUCAUGUUAAUCUAAUAUCUGGUCUCCCUGUGACCCAAUAAAGUUGAUACAUAAAAUUAACCAUCACAUCUCAUAAGGCAGAUGUGUCCAAUAGGGAUUACAGCUCAAAAGGUAGUUGAGGACUGCAGAUAUAGGUGCACUCUUAACUGUGCAAAUGGGAAUUAAAGCUUUGAUAGCAAAUGGGAUCCCCAGAAGGAAGCCGUCCGUCAGAUAGAGCAUCCUAUCUCAGGGAUGAGCCGAAGAUAUACAAUCACCAGUGAGAUAAAAAGAAAACCAUGUAAGAUCUGGGUUCUAGAAGCCUAAGGGAUACAAGUUUCAUAGAGGAAAAGCAGAGCUAAUUUAGACAUUCCAGGAAGAUAAAGGUUUGAUUAAUGUCCUUUGUCCUUGGAAAUCAGGAGGUGUUCAUUCACCCUUUUCAGAAGAGGAAUGACCUCCCAGUGAUGCCGGUCCUUUCCACUUUAAGUAUCUGCUCUGUAGCUGUGUCUGUUGAAUUAGUCAGGACAGUUCAAGCUAGUCGCUUUAAUGACAACCCUAGAAAUCUCAGGGGCUUAACACAUUUAAGUCAGUUUCUCACUCAGACCACAUGCUAUGUGGGUAGGGCAUCCCUCCUUGGCAGCAGCCCUCCAAGAAGUGACUUGGGAAUCUGAGAGCCAUUUUUUCUUAGGAUGCUGCCCUCUUUAAAAUGAGGUCACUGCAGUUGCUAUGGAAGGGGAAGAGAGCAUGAACAGGAUUGCAGGGGUGUAUUCCCAGGUCUAGAAGCAGCAUAAUUAACUCCUACUCAUAUUGUUUUGACCAGAAACAUGUCACAUCAUCUCUGCAUAAUUGCACGGAAAAGCCAAGACUAGGAAAUGGAAUUGGUGAGCAUGUAAAUAUUCUCUGCCACAAUACCAAAGCCUUUCCUACAGCCCUCACCUUGCUCUCUAAUUACGGGGUCCACAUGUCUAAUUUCUUUCUUUCUUCCUUUCUUCCUUUCUUUCUUUCUUUAUUUCCUUCCUUCCUUUCUUUCGUCUUUUUGCCAUUUCUUGGGCCGCUCCCACGGCAUAUGGAGUUCCCAGGCUAGGGGUCGAAUCAGAGCUGUAGCUGCCAGCCUACACCAGAGCCACAGCAACGCAGGAUCCAAGCCGCGUCUUCGACCUACACCACAGCUCACAGCCACGCCGGAUCCUUAACCCACUGAGCAAGGGCAGGGAUCGAACCCGCAACCUCAUGGUUCCUAGUCGGAUUCGCUAACCACUAUACCACGACGGGAACUCCCACAUGUCUAAUUUCUUAGUGGACACUUCAUACUCUACUUUUUCAAAUUACAGUGAACAAUGUGCACUUAAUUCUGUGAGCCAUCAAAAAUUCGCAUGUAACUUAUGGUCAACCCUCUGUAUAUGUGGUUCUUGUGUAUCCAUGGUUCUUCUCUAUCCAAGGUUCCAUACCCUCAGAUUCAACCAACCUUGGUGGUGUGGUACUGUAGUAUUUGCUAUUGAAAACAAAUCUGUGUAUAAAUGGACCCUUGCAGUGUAAACCAGUGUUGUUCAAGGGUUAACUGUAGGUCAUAAC
rnacentral:lncRNA from 1 species